UGAACUUCAGGGGCCAUGAAAUCAAGAUCAGGUUGACUCAUUUUCGGUGAUUUUGAGGUGAAUGCUGGACAAGAAACUGGCAGCUAAACAUAAAGGAAAAGAAAUCGAUAAAAGGUAAAUUUGACAAGUUUUGGUUCUCUUUUAAAUAGAGAAAAUGGAAAAGUUCUAACAGACAAGUUCGAAACUUUCAAUUUCCUUUGAAUACUUUUCGAGUUCACAAAAUACAAGUCAAACUCAACUUACCAUGUUAUCGCCAUCAUUACAUUUAACUGUAAACUCGAAGCCAGAUAAUUUCCAAGUUCCCCGUUUAUUAAUUAUCACAGAUUGUGGACAGAUAUUUCGAUGGAUAAUUUUGCAUGAAUAAUGU